CAUGGCAGCGCGCAGAGCAGCUGUAGAGCAGCGGCGUGUUCGUGUGGUGGACGUUUUUUUUUUCUGUUACACCGCAGCCGUCGCCGCUGCAUAGCGUAAUGGACGGUGCAGCAAAGUCCGGAGGUUACAGAAUUCAUUUGAAGAGCACACGAUGCUUACAUUUUGGCAGAAUAGCGAGCGGUAAGGCGGAUGCAACCGGGAUGCAGCGUUGAUCCAGGGGAAUCGAAAUUGUUUCGGCGUCGGCAUGUUUUCUUAAAGAAUUGCAGAGAUGAUCUGAAGUGUUUUAGCACGAAUGCUCAGCUUCAACAGCAGCAUCUUUCAACUGAGUGCUGGCAUUGAGUGCUUCACUUCAGAUGAAAAACUAAAGCCACAUCCCAGGGUCAGUGGCUUUCCCAGGAACGCCUAGGACGUAGGAAUGCAUACUUGUCAUCCUUCACGCUCACACAGCAUGGCUCCCAGAAAUGGAAAGUUCACAAAGCUGCUGAAGGGCCCUUUAAUGAAGAUUACAAACACUACAAUAUGGAAGAGGAAAGUAGCACUAUCAAAGCCAGCUGUUGCACAGCUACAGCACAGGUUUUGCUUGUCAAUCACUUGGUGGCUGAGUAAGCGCGGCAUUUCGCUGCUAAGCACACGUGCAGGGGUUCCAUUCCUGGCUAUGUUGGGCACAGUUGGACUGGGGGAACAAAAUUCUUGUAUUUCGAUACAGGUUUGCUUAUUCAAAAUUACAUGAGCUUUGCUCUUUUGCGUGCAUGCGCAGUCUCUACUGACUUGCUCAGCUUCUUUGACAUGUCUCUAGCAAAAAAUGCAUUCGUAGCAUUGUGUAUGUCCUAAGCACGGUUGCUGUAAAGUUGUCCUUGUGUUCUGCACACCCGAGUUUUGGAAACUUUGUUAACUCUAGAGCAUCGAGAAGUUCCCAAAAAAUGUCACUGCACAGUUGAAAGCGGUUAAGUGCGCUUGAGACAGUGCUUUCUAUGCUUCUCAGUGACAGGAACAUCUUCUCUGUGGGGUGCUUCAGGCUCAUUUCUUUAAAUGACCUAGCAAAUGUUACCCAUGCUGCCGGCAUAUGUGGAGCGUCAGUUUGAAUGUCAGCUAAGCAGUUUAAACAGCCUUUUUUCUUUGAGGUUUUGUGCACAAUGUAGCCAGCAAGAUAAUAUACUACACAGUCUUCUGCAGUUGCCUUGCUGUAUGGGUGGUCCUUGCUUGUGCUGGGAAGCGCAGCCAUUGUGCUCGUGUCUUGCAGAUCAAAGCAGAGCUCUUCAAGCUUUUUCUCUAAGCGUGCGUGGAGCUUUUCUUUGUGGCACUUAUUGUCUUUGACACCAGCCUCGAGCACACCUGAAAGAACUGGCAAGAUAUCCUCCUGGGCUUCUACAUUGCCUUUGAUUGCUGCUUUCAUUGGGGCAUAGAUGGUCAAGAGCCGAAAGAUGUAGGAGAAGUUCACUAUGGUGGGGUGAUCUUCAUGUCCUCCAAAUGAACGGAUGUUGCCGAAGAACCUCUGAAGUGAAAGAGCCAUUUGUACAAAUAUUGUAUAAAUCAAAGCACUUGUAAGCGUAUUGUUUACUUUAAUAUUUAAUUUGCACUUAUGCAAGGCUAAAAUUGGAAGUGAAAGCAUGACAAUAAAGUUGCUUGUGUAUAUACAGUCGCCGACCAUUUUUCAAACGUCCUAUUAUUUGGACCACCCUAAAUAUCUGGUCUCUGCCAUGUCACAGUUGCAUGCUCCAUAGAGUCAGUGUAUAACAUCAACCAAAAUUCUGGGUAUUUGAAACCCUUCUCAUUUGAUUUUCCUAACUUUUUCUUUUAAUCGUAAGCGUACAGCUACCAAAAACCACUGAAAACGCAAACAGCAUUGCUGCCAUUUUGUUUUUCUGUAGCCC